GACGAACGCUGGCGGCGUGCUUAACACAUGCAAGUCGAACGGAAAGGCCCUGCUUGCAGGGUGCUCGAGUGGCGAACGGGUGAGUAACACGUGGGUGAUCUGCCCCUUACUUUGGGAUAAGCCUGGGAAACUGGGUCUAAUACUGGAUAGGACCAUGCUGUAGGUGGUGUGGUGGAAAGAUUAGUUUCGGUAAGGGAUGAGCUCGCGGCCUAUCAGCUUGUUGGUGGGGUAAUGGCCUACCAAGGCGUCGACAGGUAGCCGGCCUGAGAGGGUGGACGGCCAAUUUGGGACUGAGAUACGGCCGAGACUCCUAGGGGGGGGAGCAGUGGGGAAUUUUGCAAAAUGGGCGCAACCCUGAUGCAGCGCCGCCGGGGGGGGGAUGACGGCCUUCGGGUUGUAAACCCCUUUCACCCAUGAAGAACCCCUUGGGGUGGCGGUAGGGGUAGAAGAAGCCCCGGCUAACUACGU
rnacentral:rRNA from 1 species